rnacentral:rRNA from 1 species
CUAUACUGCAAGUCGAGCGAAAGACGAGGAGCUUGCUCCUCUGACGUUAGCGGCGGACGGGUGAGUAACACGUGGAUAACCUACCUAUAAGACUGGGAUAACUUCGGGAAACCGGAGCUAAUACCGGAUAAUAUAUUGAACCGCAUGGUUCAAUAGUGAAAGACGGUUUUGCUGUCACUUAUAGAUGGAUCCGCGCCGCAUUAGCUAGUUGGUAAGGUAACGGCUUACCAAGGCAACGAUGCGUAGCCGACCUGAGAGGGUGAUCGGCCACACUGGAACUGAGACACGGUCCAGACUCCUACGGGAGGCAGCAGUAGGGAAUCUUCCGCAAUGGGCGAAAGCCUGACGGAGCAACGCCGCGUGAGUGAUGAAGGUCUUCGGAUCGUAAAACUCUGUUAUUAGGGAAGAACAAAUGUGUAAGUAACUAUGCACGUCUUGACGGUACCUAAUCAGAAAGCCACGGCUAACUACGUGCCAGCAGCCGCGGUAAUACGUAGGUGGCAAGCGUUAUCCGGAAUUAUUGGGCGUAAAGCGCGCGUAGGCGGUUUUUUAAGUCUGAUGUGAAAGCCCACGGCUCAACCGUGGAGGGUCAUUGGAAACUGGAAAACUUGAGUGCAGAAGAGGAAAGUGGAAUUCCAUGUGUAGCGGUGAAAUGCGCAGAGAUAUGGAGGAACACCAGUGGCGAAGGCGACUUUCUGGUCUGUAACUGACGCUGAUGUGCGAAAGCGUGGGGAUCAAACAGGAUUAGAUACCCUGGUAGUCCACGCCGUAAACGAUGAGUGCUAAGUGUUAAGGGGGUUUCCGCCCCUUAGUGCUGCAGCUAACGCAUUAAGCACUCCGCCUGGGGAGUACGACCGCAAGGUUGAAACUCAAAGGAAUUGACGGGGACCCGCACAAGCGGUGGAGCAUGUGGUUUAAUUCGAAGCAACGCGAAGAACCUUACCAAAUCUUGACAUCCUCUGAUCCCUCUAGAGAUAGAGUUUUCCCCUUCGGGGGACAGAGUGACAGGUGGUGCAUGGUUGUCGUCAGCUCGUGUCGUGAGAUGUUGGGUUAAGUCCCGCAACGAGCGCAACCCUUAAGCUUAGUUGCCAUCAUUAAGUUGGGCACUCUAAGUUGACUGCCGGUGACAAACCGGAAGGAAGGNGGGGGAUGACGUCAAAUCAUCAUGCCCCUUA